rnacentral:lncRNA from 1 species
GAGUAGCUGGGAUUACAGGCAUGCACCACCACACCUGCCUAAUUUUUGUAUUUUUAGUAGAGAUGGGGUUUUGCCAUGUUGCCCAGGCUGGUCUCGAACUCCUGACCUCAAUUGAUUCACCUACCAAAGCCUCCCAAAGUGCUAGGAUUACAAGUGUGAGCCACCAUGCCAGGUCUGAGAACAGUUUUAAUCUGGAUGUCACCCAUCGCUGAGCCAGAGGGAAAGACAGCUCAAAGGGUUUUGAAUUAGCAAUUGAAUUCUGGAAUUCUUGGCCCAGAAGUGAAAUGUAUGACUUCCACUCACAACCCAUUGGCUAAAGCUGGUCACAUGGCCCCAUCGAACUACAGAGAGCCAGGAAGAGAGAUCCUACCAUAUGCCAGAAGGCAGAGAGGCACAGAUAUUUAGUGAGCAUUGGAAAGACAUCUAGAAACCACCAAGGAAGAAUGACAUUUGAACCAAGAUUUGAAAAAUAUUUUAGUCUUCAAUAGAUGAAGUUAAGGGCCAGGGAGGAGGAUCUGCCAGGAAGAUAACUUUGGCAGCAGAAUGGGAAGAAGAUUGGAUGGGAGAGAGAUCAAAGGCUGGGAGAUUCUAAGAGGCUGUUGCAGUAUAGUCGAGGUUUGUCUGCCAGUGGAGUCCAUGUUUCCACCACUGUCCUACAUGGCCUCUCCUCACGAAUGGCUCCAACCUCCUGGGUGCGAUGGAUGAAGCCGGGUGCAGAGAUGGAAAGAGCAGCCCAACUUUCCUAACUGGAGGACUGAAGCGAGAGCUCUCACUGUCGGCCUAGUGUGGAUUGACUCCUUUCCACCACAUUCCCCAACCAAGGACAGUCUAUACCAAGCUCACAGCACUGAGGCGCUGGGGGAGGGCCAGCCCACACCUAGCCCCGUCAAUCUUGGUGGCAUGGACUCCCUCCUAAAGCUUUCUCAGGAGGCCCCAUUUCCUACUGCAGCGGGGCAAGAAUUCAGGAGGAGCCCACUCAAAGGGGAGACAGAGGCAGUGCUCCCUGUGAGCAGCUCUUCCUCCUCAGAGCUGUCAUGGACAAUUGGAGAGAAAAACCGGGACAUUCUCCCCAACCAGGAUAUUUUGUAUGCUUUGCACUUACUGCUGCGUUCCCUUCAUCUAAAAGCUCUAAAAUUUCAAAUAAAAAGGUACAAUGAAAGCAG